rnacentral:tRNA from 1 species
GCUUACUUAGUAUAUAUAUUACAUAAAACUGUAAAUUUUAAAAAAUUGUUUAAAUAGUAAGAA